UGUUCUACUUGAAUCACGCACAUCGGUUGCAUCACCUCAUCCUCCCGCAACCACCUCCACGACUCCAGCGAUCCUCUCUGCCUCACCUCCCGAUCCCUUCUCUCCUCCAACUGCUGGCCACCGCCGCCGCCGGGUCGGUGGUGCCUUCGCCAUGGCCGGCGCCGUCAGGGCAGGCAAUCUGGGGACAACGCACGCUAGUGGGGCCGCCUCAGGUUGGUUUGCUCUUUUCCCCUUGGGGCAACAAGGAUAUUCAAUGUGCAUUCUUGAUUUCUUGUCACGCUGGCGGUGAAACAGAGGUUUUAUAUCAUCUCUCUCCAAUUCUUCUCUUUUGUGCACUAAAAUUUCAGUCCAUGGGAAAAUCGUUAAGAUUUUUCUAUGGAACAAGGUCCUGAAGACAGAAAG